rnacentral:rRNA from 1 species
GACGAACGCUGGCGGCGUGCCUAAUACAUGCAAGUCGAACGCAGUGGGGACGGGUGAGUAACACGUGGGUAACCUCCCCUCAGAGGGGAUAACACUUGGAAACAGGUGCUAAACCGAUACUGCUGGAUGGACUGGCGGUGCAUUAGCUAGUUGGUGAGGUAACGGCUCACCAGGGCCACGAUGAAUUGCCGACCUGAGAGGGUGAUCGUCCACACGGGGACGGGAACACGGACCAGGCGCCUACGGGAGGCAGCAGUGAGGAAUGUGGGGCUAUGGACGAAAGUCUGACCGAGCAACGCCGCGUGAGUGAAGAAGGUUUUCGGAUCGUAAAACUCUGUUGUUAGGGAAGCGGUAUCUAACCAGAAAGCCCCGGCUAACUUCGUGCCAGCCGCCGCGGUAAUUC